GUGAAAUACAGUCUCAUGAUAAAAUACUCAAGUAAGAUUUUCGCAGCAAGUUGUAGAAAUUGGUUGAUGUUCGCAGAAAGGUUGAACAUCUGCUUUCACAGAGGAAAUUUUAACCACGUGUUAAAUUUACCAAGGUCUUUGCGUCCUGUGGAUAAGUGCCCUUGCCGGCCGUGGACCCUCGGUUUGGAACCACUGCUCUAAGCAAUUUCUCGCAUCGAGUAUAUCUCAUCGUCAAGGAACUAUAUGGCAAUAAUUCGUCGCGUUCCCAUCCACUCCCUGGAGGAGCACCAAAAAGUGCCUCGUUUUGUCGGUGCCGCAAUUUGGUUAGGCAAAUGAGCGGCUGGUCCCCCAAGCGUAUGCACUUCUUUGCAUAGCGGCAAUACGAGAGUGAUUCCAUUUCAAGUUCCAGUUAACUUUGGUCGAAAUCGAACUGCCGGCUAGAAAUGAAGAAAUGAAUGAAUUCGAACGAAGCAGUUUCGCGCUUGGUUACUGGUGUCAACGUCAUCGCGUCAUCUUCCAGGUGCUAAUUCCGUUAUGUUCCAGUCAGGCAAGUGCUAAGCGAUUGAUCAUUUGUGAACAUGCUGGCUGCUGAGGUGAACUACACUUUGAGUAGUGAAAACACGUUUCACGUAAUUGUCGAGUGUAAUUCUUGGUCCUACUAUCCAUAGGUUAGGCAUCGCUUAAUUUUUAGUAAUCAACAGGAACUAUUUGAAUUUUACUUAGAAACGGAUAGCCAUAGUCAGAAGCCGGAACAGUGAUACACAGGAAUGAUGAAAUUUAGAUGAAGUGUGAAAAAUAUAUAUUAGCCUUAUUUGCUUUUCAGUCACAGCAGUCAAGCUGGAGCCUAUUAAUCUAGAAAAAUAUCAUUCAGCGUGAUUUGAUUUUCUAAGACGUUUAUCGGCGUUUUUUCUUGUCAGUUUAAUUUGCAUACAGCGUAACAUACGACGCGCGUUUGAUUGCCUGUAACUCUCUAGUGUCGCAUAUCAAUGAAUGUGGGUCUGCAUCGGCGUGACACUCUAGGCCAUAAAUAGAUGCGUUUUCGAUUGGCUAUGGAACUCCGGUAUGUUUGAAUUUACAUUUAUGCUAGAGCAAAUAUACUGUUGACAGAGCAAAUUUGUUUGAACUUGAGAGAUUUAUUGACAUGGAACGAACAUUAUGAAAAUGCUUCGACAUGCUUCUAACAAGCUACAAAUUUAUUGCUUCGUGUAUGUUGAGUUAUGGAAAUAACAAAAAAACAAUCCUAAAAAUGGGAUUGAUAUGUGUGGAUAGUAACCUUUAUGCACCUAAAGUUAAUCAAUCAACAUGAAUACAUGCAAUAAAUGAAAAAGUUAGUACGGUAACGCUUUGAUUUUUCAAGACCAUAAGUGAAUUUAAAAAUGUCUUUCAAAUUCAUACAAAGUUGCUGCAUUUUUUUGAACCAUCAUGUAAGGCUAGACUGCCGUAAACCGUAUGUAAGCGGACCGAAUUCGAAACAGCUGUAUAAUGAUUUUCGGGUUAUAUUUCUUCGCGGAUGCCUCCGUAGACUAUUUAUCCACAUGAUGUCACAAGGUCCGGCGGUAGAACAGGAUGUGACAGUUGCCAGCGGCCGUUGGUGGUCGCGGCUGGCAGCAAAAAAACCGGUUCCAUAUGUUUGCUGGUAUGUCCAUGUGGAAGCUGAGCUGAGGUUAUAGGAUUCGGGAAUUUUUUCGCGACUAGAACGUGUGAAUAACUUGACACAUAAUUAAUAUUUUUCGAACGCUUGGUGGCGGUUUGUAUUCACGACUUUAACCCUUUCAUGGUGACUCUAGAGCACCAAGAAUUGUAAUGACUAUA